rnacentral:misc_RNA from 1 species
AACAACCCCUCUGACCUCCUUCCCUUCGAUACAGGCGCCCUCUCCCUCAUCGUUCCUCAGGUGCUGACGCACGAACGGCCUCGUACAGAUUUGCACGCACGAGAGCACACAGGCACCGACACACGUUUUGGCAGUAGCGGCAGCAUCAAGACGUGCCGCGUGCUCGCCGAAGUGCGAGCAAGAAAAGUGCGCGCUUUACUGACCAACCGCUGCUGCAUCCGCUGCUUCCCGUGCACGCAAUCAAGCAGACGGGUUGCAUCCCGCACACGCCAGCGAAGGAGGCGGUGGCGCGUUGCUGGGCUUCACCGCUCGCCCCUCAACACCCUCAACGAGCUCCCCUGCCCCUGCCGCGGUUGGUCUCUUUUCUUACGUAGUCACACACACACACACACACACACACGCACACACGCACAGACGUGCCCCCCUUCUCUCCUAUACCGUUGCGCUGAACCAUGCAGGUGCAGUUUUACCAGAACAUCAUGAAGGGCCAGCUGGGCACAGCCCGCACGCAGGCCAUCUGCUUCUCUGCCAACAACAAGCGCCUCGCCGUCGCCGACGCCACGCGGCACAUUCAGCUUUUCGACGAGCAGGGCGAGCGGCGCGACAAAUUCGCGACUAAGGCGGCGUCGGACAAGGGCGGGCGAGGCUACAUUGUGACGGGCAUGACCUUCUCCCCUGACAGCUCGCUGCUGGCGAUUGCGCAGUCCGACAACAUUGUCUUUGUGUACCGUCUCGGGCUGGAGUGGGGCGAAAAGAAGGCGAUCCGCAACAAACUGUCGCAGACAUCGCCGGUGACGUGCGUGGUGUGGCCCAACACGUCUUCUCAGGGAGUGGAGCUCAUCGCCUUCGCCACGCUGGAUGGCAGUGUGAAGGUGGGUAUGCUGAAGGCGAACAAGUCACACGUCCUCUACUCACACGACCACCCGGCCGUCUCCAUGUGCACCAGCCGCGACAACACGAAGAUCCUGACAGGCCACCUCGACGGCACCGUCUACCAGUAUGUUUUCGAGGCCACCGAGGACGGCGCCGAGGUGGCUGGGGCGAAGCGGCUCUUCGUCCACAGCUGCGCGCCGUACAUGCUAGCAUGGGGCGAAAGCAUCUGCGCGGCCGGCACCGACUGCCAGGUCGCCUUCUACACCCCGAAGAGCGGCCAGAAACCGCAGGUGAUUCCGUUUGACAUGAAGGACGUCGGCAGCUUCACCGGGGGCGUCUGCAACCCGAGCGGGCAGGCCGUCGCGAUCGCGGGUCGCGAGCAGAUCCGCAUCUUCGACCUCAACAUCCGCUCUCACAAAUGGGAGGAGGGCACUGUUGUUUACCUGCCGCACAGCGAGGGCUUCAGCGCGAUGCAAUGGAAGCGCGACGGCAGCCGGCUUGUGACCGGCUCCGUCACCGGCUCUGUGGACGUGUUCGACUGCUGUCUGCGCCGCUACCGCAUGCGCGGCGCGUACGAGUUCACGUACGUGAGCCAUAGCCAGGUGAUCGUGAAGCGGCUGGCGAGCGGAACGCGGCUAGUGCUGCAGUCCUACAUGGGCUUUGAGAUUCAGAAGGUGAACGUCUACCAGGACCGCUACCUCGUCGCCCACACCUCAGCCACCCUCCUUCUUGGUGACUUGGUGUCGCACAAGCUGAGCGAGGUGCCGUGGCAGCUCACCGGGCGGGAGAAGUUUACCUUCGACAAUGAGCAGAUCUGCAUGGUGUUCAACGUUGGCGAGCUAUGCCUCAUCGAGUAUGGCAAGAACAUGAUUCUUGGCACGUGCCGCACCGAGGAGCGCAACGCGCACCGCAUCAGCGUGCGUGUUCUCAACCCCCUUGCAAGUGACACAGGUGCUGGCGCGGCGGGCAGCGGAGGCGCCGGCGGGCAGCGUCGCGAGGUGAACACGACGACCGGCUCGCCUAUUGUGCCGACCCCCGUGACGGGCAGCUCCGGCGCGCUCGAUGCGUACAACUCGCGCUGCGUCAUUGCUUACCUCAUCGACCGGCAAACGAUUCAAAUCGACGACCUCAGGAGCGGCGUCUCCAUCGCCCGCGUGCCGCACGAGUCGAAGAUCGACUGGCUCGAGCUCGACUUCCGCGCGUCGCGGCUGCUGUUUCGCGACAAGCAGCACCAGCUGUACCUCUACGACAUCUCCAGGCAGCAGCGCACCACGCUGCUGAGUUACUGCACAUACGUGCAGUGGGUGCCACGCAGCGACGUCGCCGUGGCGCAGAGCCGCCUGGAACUUUGCGUGUGGUACAAUGUCGAGUCGCCGGAACGCGUCACCAUCGUGCCGAUUCGCGGCGAGGUGGAGGGCAUGGAGCGCGGCAACGGCAAGACGGAGGUGAUUGUGGACGAAGGCGUCAGCACCGUCGCCUACGCGCUGGACGAGUCGCUCAUUGAGUUCCGCGCCGCCAUGGAGGAGCGCGACCUGGACCGCGCAUGCGACUUGCUGGAGCGCACGUCGCUGUCUCCUGGGACAGAGGUGAUGUGGAGCACACUCGCCAACGUGUCGCUGCAGGAGAUGAAGCUUUUCAUUGCGGAGCGCUGCUACGCCGCCCUGGGCGAUGUCGCGAAGGUGAACGCGCUGCAGCGCAUCCACCAGCUCGCGGCAAAGGCGAGAGCGGACAGCGCGGACGCCACCACCGGCUACGAGCACUACACGGUGCUGGCGGAGCUGUACAUGAUGAGUCAAGACUUCAAGCGAGCCGAGCAGCUCUUCCUCGAGAACGGCCGUGCCGAGGACGCCAUGCAAAUGUGGGAGGAGAUGAACCGCUUUGACGAGAGCCUGGCCAUCGCCGAGUCGCGCGGCCUCGACGACGUCGCCAACCGUCGUGCCCGGUACUUUGCGUGGCUGAUGGAGACUCGCCAGUACGAGAAGGCGGGCGAGAUGCGCGAGAAGGAUGGCAAGCUCAUUGACGCCAUCAACCUGUACCUGCGCGGCGGUACGCCGGCCCGUGCAGCGCAGGUGGUCUCCGUGAACAACCUGAAGCCCGAGCAGCAACUGCUGGAGGCGAUCGCGGCCGCGCUCUUCAAGGCGCAGGUGUUCGAGGCCGCUGGCGACUUCUUCGAUAAGCUACACAUGACAGACCGCGCGAUCGACGCCUACAAGCGAGGCCACGCCUUCAGCCGUGCCGUCGAAUAUGCCAAGACGGCCGCGCCGCAGCAGGUUGUCCCGCUGGAGGAGGCGUGGGGCGACUACCUUGUCUCGCAGAAGCACGUCGACCAGGCCAUUAACCACUACAACGAGGCAGGCAAGUACGGCAAGGCCGUGAAGGCGGCGCUGGACUCGCGGCAGUGGGCGAAGGCGGCGGCCAUCCUGGAGACGCAAAGCAACGGCGGCGUGGGCAGCUCCGGAGUGCCGGUCGACGCGGCCGCCAAGAGCGCCUACCAGCGCAUUGCGCACCACUACGAAGAGGUACACCAGUACGCCGAGGCGGAGAAGCUCUACAUCAAGUGUGGCGCCGUCAGCGACGCCGUCGACAUGUACUCGCGCGCUGGCAUGACUGACCACAUGUACCGCGUUGCUCAGCGCCACCUUGAGCAGGACAAGCUGGUCGAGCUCUUCGUAAGCCAGGCGAAGCAGCUGGAGACGAAGGGCGACUACGCCGCCGCCGAGCGCAUAUAUCUGAAGGUGAACGACGCAGAUGGCGCCAUCAUGAUGUACCGCAAGAACCGCGACUACACGAACAUGAUGCGGCUCGUGCAGGCGUACCGCUCCGGCUACGUUGUGCAGACGCACCUGGCGCUGGCUGCGCAGUUCCAGAAAGAGGGCAAUCUCAAGGCAGCCGAGACGCACUUUAUCGCCGGCAAGGACUGGAGCCGCGCCGUCUCCAUGUACCGCGAUCGCGAUCUCUGGGACGACGCAGUGCGCAUUGCCAAGGUGCACGGCGGCGCCAACGCGGCGAAGCAGGUGGUCGUGUCACGCGCGACGGUGAUGGACAGCGAAGAGGGUGUGCGGCUGCUCGGCAAGUUCAACCUUAUCGAAGCCGGCAUCGAGGCGGCGCUGGAGAGCUCCAAGUUUGACCUGGCGCUCCAGUGGGCGCAGCUAGCGCGGCCAGCGAAGGUGCCGUACGUGUACCUCAAGUACGCCAUGCACUACGAGGACCAGGGCGACUUCCGCAUGGCCGAGGACGCCUUUAUCAAGUCCGGCAAGCCGCGCGAGGCGAUUGACAUGUAUGUACAUCAGCACGACUUCACCGGUGCGAUGCGCGUCGCUGAGAACCACGACCCGUCGGCGGUGCCGCACGUGUGCGCCGCCAAUGGGCGUGUGUGCUUCCAGCAGGGCAACUACAAGGAGGCCGAGGCGCUGCUCCUGCGCGCGAACGCGCCGGAGACGCUGCUGAAGUUGUACAUCGACGCGAAGAUGUUCUCCGAGGCGCAGCGGGUGGCGAAGGCGCACUGCCCGGAAAUGCAGAGCGAUGUGGCAAAGCGCAUGGCGCUAAACUCGAACGAUCCGCAGAAGGCCGGAGCGGUCUUGGAGGAGAACAGCGAGUACCAGCUGGCCAUUGACACCUACCUGGCCGCCACACCGGAGAUGGUGCCGGACCCGGCGACACUCGCCAAUCUGUGGGUGCGCGCCGUGAAGGUGGCGCAGAAGCACGCGCGCAACUUGCUGAAGGAGGUGCUGCGCAGCGCCAUCGACAAGCUCAAGGCGGCGCAGCGCUACGUCGAGGCCGGUAAGUGCCUCGAGGACUGUGAGGACUACAAGGCCGCCAUCAACAUGUACGUUCAGGCGCGCAAGUUUGACAUGGCAGAAACGCUGGCGAAGCGUGUGAGCCCUGAUCUGGAGAACUUUGUGAAGCGCGCCAUCGUGCAAGACAGCAUCUCCGGCGGGUCUAUGAAAGACGCCAAGGUGGUGGAGGAGAUGGACCCCGAGGCGGCCAUGAAGGCGUACAUCAGCAAGGCCGACUUUGCGAACGCGCUGCGCAUGGCGGCGCAGAGGUCGCAGGAGGAGGUGCAGUACGUGGCAGGCCUGCAGGUGCAGCAUCUACUGCGCCAAGGCGACCCGGUGCAGUGCCUCGAGGCGCUCAGCAAGAACGCCAUGAAUUCGGACGACUUUCGCUUCUACGAGACGUGGAUGUCGGUGGCACAGAAGGUGAUCCCGCUGCUGCCGGGCGACGACGCGGUGGCGACGCUGCUGCAGCCGCUGCAUGACGGCCUUGUAAAGGUGGUGAACAGCAUGACGCAGUCUGGCCAGAAGAGCGAGGACAUCGCCAAGGCCACGGCGCUCGCGAGCGUGGUGCACAUCUACUACAUGUCCCGAAAGAUGGAGACCGAGCUGAACAUGCUGGACUUUGCCGUGCAGCUCAUGCUCGGGCUUCCGCGCUGGAUCCCGCAUGUGGCACCGGAUAAGGCGUUCUACGACGCCGGCAUGGCCGCGAAGCGCUCGGGGCUUGAGGGGAUGCAGGACGUUGCCUUCCUCUAUCUCAACCGCGCACUCGACAUCAACGAGCGCAUCGACGACGGCGACACCGACAGCAGCGGGAUCGACAACACGGACUUUUCCGCGACUGACUUUCCGAAGGUGUACCGCCUGCCGAAGGAGCCUACCGUGCCGGCACAGGCGAUGGAGGAGGUGAACAACUGGGUGCUGACCGUGUCCAUCGACAACACGGCCGCUUCGGAUAGCCGCACGCUACCGAUGGUGGCCGAUCCAGAGAACGGAGAGCUGAUGUUCGCCGGCUCCGUGAAGUCCCCGCACACAGGCAAAGUGUACCCGACGUGCGCAGUGACCGGCUACCCCGUCAUCGGCGGUGGUCUGACGAAGUGCGCGCAGUGCCAUCGCCCGGCGAACCAGGCGGACUGGAACAAGUUUGUGCUGACGGCCAAGCGCUGCCCGUGGUGCGGCGCGGCAGCGAACCCCAACUUCAAGGUGUAGGCCCCCCACGGUGUGGACGUGGAGUGAAGUGGAGUGGGCAGGGGGGGGGCAACAAAGAGGAUGCCAUGCCAAUAGCGGUAUUUUGCGAGCGAGAGACGCACAUGUACAUGCACGCACACGCACACACGGCGAAAUGUGUGUGCGUGUGCGUGCAUGAUGUUUUCUUUUCUCUCUCUCGACGUGAUGUAGAUGUAGCGAUGCCAUGUGAAGCUCAGCUCUUUUCUCUCUGUACCGUUGUUUUCUCUGUGCGCUUCCGUGCAUGCGUGGGAAUGUGCCCCCGCUUGUUUGUUCGGACUUAUGUUCUUUUUUUUUUCUUGCCGGGUGUGGGUGCGCGCUCGUUGCCCCUGCGCGUGUAUGCUCUUCCCCUCUGUCUCUGUGCUUGCGCGUGCACGUGCAUGUGCAUGUGCAUGUGACUGCCUGAGUGGCUGGCUGUCUGCCUGUGAGCCUCUUCUCAUGCUGAGGAUAGAUCUCUUCCAAGUGAGACGCGAGUGCAGACACGCCUACGUAUGCGUUGCGCAUGCCUAUCAAUACAUCGUCCCCAACGCACUGUUUCCAAAGAUAACCGGCCAAGCAACCACCACAGGCAUAGCGGGUCACGGACGUCUAGAGUGAGCGGGGGGAGGGGACGGUAGCGGCGCCGAAGUGCACCUCUGCUCUCCUUUCACAGCCUCCUCUGCUCUCCUUCCUCGAUCCCGGUGCACGCUGGGUUGCGUGGCGGCCACUGCUUCCGAUUCUGCGAGCAGCGCAGCGUUCCACAAAUUACCGUAGGCCCCUCCUUUCUGUGAACACGGCGGGUCUCUACCUGCCCAUCCUCUUGUGUGGGGAAGCACGUACGUGCGGAGGGAAGACACGGCAGCUUCACGUGCGGCGUGCUCAGCAGGGGCGGGUGAGUGAGAGGUCGGCUUGACGGCUGCUGCUCCGCUCAGG